CCCUUAGAUGUCCUGGGCUGCACGCGCGCUACACUGGAAGUUACGGAUUGAGAUACUACCUUGUCCGAAAUGGUCCGGGUAAUCACCUAAAAGCUUGUCAUAAUUGGAAUGGAUUAUUGUAACUAGUAAUCCUGAACGAGGAAUUCCUAGUAAGUCCCAGUCAACAGCUGGUACUGAUUACGUCCCUGCCCUUUGUACACACCGCCCGUCGCCACUACUGAUUGGACGUUUAAGCAAGAUUUUUAAACACUGACAGUGUGUAGUUCACGCUAUACUACAGUGAGAAGAAGAAGAUCGAGCUUACUUGUCUAGAGGAAGUAAAAGUCGUAACA
rnacentral:rRNA from 1 species